CAGGGGUGGCCAGGCAGAGGACCACUGAAUGUUCUCACCAUUCAAGUCUGACGUCCACCCUUAAAGAAUCUAUAACAUGACCUCAUCGUCUCACAGGACGUCAUAAAUGAAUCAGCUAAUUGUGGCGGGGGAAAACCCAUUAAUCAUCAACCUCAUGGUGGGUCUAGAUUUUCCUUCUAAUUCCACAAGAUGCAGGGUGUCCGCUUAAACACCGAAUUGCCUGCCGCACAACAGAAAACCAAACAAGACACAAAUUUUCAUCAGACUGAUGCUUAAAAUAUCACAUUGAAGAUUUGCCCCCACAUCUGAAUCCCCGUUUGGUUAUUAGUGUGAACAACUAAAACAAUGCAUGAAUGAACAAUUCCCCAAAUACCUACCUGGACUACUGAAUUGGAUCCCAAAAUACAGUGUAUCUCUAAAAAACAUUACCGCUAUUUUUUAACAUAUAAAGAAGGGAUCCCACACACGUCUGCAGAUAACAACUACUUAUUGACAAAACAGGAGAUGUUUCAAUCUGAUGAGGAUCUUCCUCAAGUCAAAAUAUCGUCAGUGCAGUAUCCUGUAUUGGUCCUAUAUCAAUAUGGGUUGUCCCAUCAGGUGGCUUCUUCAACAAACCUCUCCUUUGAGACUUAUACCAAAGAGAAGGAAAUCUUUAUUUUGAAUGCUCAAAUGUGACAAUAGUCACCUGCAACAGGCAUCCUUUCUGUCGCUCGCUCAGCUAAAUCAGUGUUAGCAUGCAGAACUAAGCACAAAUGAAAACAAAGCCAAACAGCUGAUUUGAUUAUACUUUGGUUAAAAACAAUGUUUCAAAAAUACUUCUACUGAAAUGUGUCCUAAAACGAGCAAGAAAAGUGUAACCAAACUGAGCUUGCAGUUUAGACGCUGGCAUAAAGACUGUAACACUUUGAGGAGUUCGGUUUAAGGCAUACCGACCUCCCCAAGAUGACGGGUAAAGUGCGACUUGAGAGAUGAAAUACUGAAACAGUGGGUGAAGAAAGCAAAGGUGUGUGUGUGUGUGUGUGUGUGUGUGUGUGUGUGUGUGUGUGUGUGUGUGUGUGUGUGUGUGUGUGUGUGUGUGUGUGUGUGUGUGUGUGUGUGUGUGUGUGUGUGUGUGUGUGUGUGUGUGACAACCGAGCUAUGGGAGCGUUCCGCUGCAGAAUGGAGUUGUGCAAAGUUGCCAUGGAAAAACUGAUCGUCGCACAAACUGUUUCUUAAUCGAGUGGAGGUCUUAGUAAGUGGGAGGGAUUCUGAGUUUUUAGCACAAGAAGCGUCUCUGCGUUUGCAUGGAUUUAGUGGGAUUAUGUGGACAUUCAUGGCAACCAGUGAGGCCAGCAGGUGAGGUCUGGGCUCAGCUGCCUUAGCCUUUAGGUAAACACAGAGAAGGGUUGCCAGAUCCUGGCUGCGUUGCCUAGCUGAUAUUGUAUCUGUCCAAACUACUUACGUCAGUCAGGCUGAUCUGCCUACUCCUGCAGAGUGGCGCUGACAGGGGGCUGCUUGUUGCCGCAUGGGAGACACUGAGGACAGGCUUUCAUCGUCUAAGUGCCGCAGUGAGGCCGGACCAAAAACGGUCUGGUGACAUUACUUGACUGGCUAUCAAUAGUAUCUUAGCAGGGGCUAAAACCAAAAGCAAACAUGCAGUGAGCCUGAGUGUGAAUGUUUGAGGCAAGGCUCUGUCACUUUAGGAGCAUCGUGUGUUGACGCAGAGCAGAAAUAACAACAGGCCUGGUAAAGUGAUCAAGUUGUGAGCUUUUGUCUCUUUUCAGAAAGUCCUGAUCUGAUUUUCACUGAGCUUAUACUUUUAAUUAGAUUUGCAUUUUUAACAUGCCUGUUUUACAUGUGUUUUUGGACUUAAACAGUAAAACAGGCUUAUCUAAAUGAAUAGUUCAGUGUUUUCUGCCUGACACCACAUCAGAUUAAGACAAGGGAAUUGCCACGUUACAUAUUUAGUGCUGUCAGGAAUUCUUGCACAUUUGCCUCACAAAAACUGUUUUUCUUUCACAUGACCUUUUGUUGAAAACGUUGAAUGUAAGAUAAGAAGAGAUUUCAGAAGAUGUUGAACUGAAUUAUAAACAGCUCUGAGAAGUUUGGGAAAAUGAACAUGUAGCAUGUCUUCCAGAACACCUUGUCCUGAUUUACUGAUGUAAAGCUGUAACACACAUGGAGGAGUGAAAGUGAAUAAAUAGCUGAAUGAAUAUAGAAACUAUAAUGUUUCUCUGUCUUUCAGUGUCUCCAUUCCUAAUGAGGUUCUACUAACACUGGUCAUGGAUUUGGGCUUUCCUGGUGUUCGUUUGAUUGUUUGUUCAUCUGUACAGAGUUUAAAACUAAACUUUAAAACAUUUAAAGUGAAAUCCAUCUCUGUGGCACCCUAUCAUCAUGUCAUCAUUGUGUUCCUUCUCUGCUGCAGUCUCUCUGUUUGUUCACCUGCCGGUCAGUCGUGCCCAGCCUGAAAGGCCACAGCUUCGCCCCUCUGACCUCCUGACCCCGUGCAGCCUCCACACGCCUCCUCUCUGGACCAGCAAAUAUUGAACCAGUCAGUCAGGGUUUCUCUGCUGUUUAACUGUUGCUGGAGAACAGCUUUACCACCACUAGACAACAGCAACAGCACGCCAGGGCAGACCCCUGUGUGUGUUUGUGUGUGUGUGUGUGUGUGUGUGUGUGUGUGUGUGUGUGCGCAUGUGCGUGUGCGUGUGUGUGCACACACAUGGUUUGAGCAAGUGUCUGGGUGUUUAAGUGAUACACAACAAUUGGCUACACCAACUGGAAUUUUUUUUGAUUGCUAAACGACAGUGGGCACAACUGAAGCUACACGUACAAAACUCUAACUACAGCCUGUACAGUCACCGGAGCUAAACAGUUCACAUUUCCUGCAAACUCACUCCAAGCAACACAACUCGUACCACACGUCUCAAAACAGGAUCAGUGCAGCAAACACUACGAGCAGUCCUAACUGAGACAACACACACUGUCACUCAGAACACACUGAGAGUAAAAUCACUAGCACCAAAAACCAAUAGAUAAAAUUCUAACUUUCUUAUCUUUACAGUUUGUACAGUUUGAGUGACUUCACAUUACUCAUUUGUUUCUUUAAAGAAAAGAUAUAAAUUUUAUGUAAUAUAACGAUUUUUACGUAAGAUAAUGAAGAAGGAACAAAAAGCAGCAGUUUGCUUCAAUACAGUAUUUUGUCUCUAGUAAUUUAUGGAAUUACUGUAAAAAAAAAUAAAAAAAAUAAAAUAAAGGUACAUAACAGUAACAUAGAAUAGUGUGACUAAUCUUGCCUCUUUCCAGCACUAUGCUGCAAGUUUUCUUCAUCACAUUGGAUGUCUGCAUCAUCUCUAAAUGCUAAUGAAUGUGGUGAUUUCAACGCUUUCACCUUCAUUACUUUCUGAAAAACAGUAAGAACACAGUUUUACUAUAGUAAAGAUAUAGUGUUUUCACAUUUUGUUUUUUUGUAGCUGCGUAUGUAACCUCAGACAUCUCACCGGGUCAUAUUGGAAUAUUUGCUCUUUUACAUGUUUCUCUCAAAUGGUACAGUGUAGAAUUGUUUGCAAUUCUUAUUUGGUUUUUGUAUACAAAAAAAUCCUUUCUGAGCUCUCUCUGU